GAUGAACGCUGGCGGCGUGCCUAAUACAUGCAAGUCGAGCGAACAGACGAGGAGCUUGCUCCUCUCACGUUAGCGGCGCACGGGUGAGUAACACGUGGAUCACCUACCUAUAUGACUGGGAUAACUUCGGGAAACCGGAGCUAAUACCGGAUAAUAUCUUGAACCGCAUGGUUCAAUAGUGAAAGACGGUUUUGCUGUCACUUAUAGAUGGAUCCGCGCCGCAUUAGAUAGUUGGUAGGGUAAAGGCUUACCAAGGCAACGAUGCGUAGCCGACCUGCGAGGGGGAUAGGCCACCUUAGAACGGGGACGCGGUCCAGGGUCCUACGGGAGGCAGCAGAAGGGAAUGGGCCGCAAUGGGCGAAAGCCUUGCGGAGCGACGCGGCGUGAGUUAUGAAGGUCUUCGGAGCGGAAAACUCUGUUAUUAGGGAAGAACAAAUGUGUAAGUAACUAUGCACGUCGUGACGGUACCUAAUCAGAAAGCCACGGCUAACUACGUG
rnacentral:rRNA from 1 species